GCCUGCCCUUCUUCGCCACCGAACCGUUCCGUCUCCUCUGUCCCCCUCCUCCUCCGCCCCGCAGUCCUGAUUGUCUCUCCCUCCUUCCUUCAGAGGAUGUCCUCCUUCCAGCUCAACCUCAACCCGCUCAAGGAGCCGCUCGGCUUCAUCAAGGUCCUCGAGUGGUUUGCUGCUAUCUUUGCUUUUGCCACCUGUGGAGGUUAUAAGGGCAAAACAGACAUUCUAGUGAAAUGUUCUCCUACAGAUCCUGAGAAUAAAACAGUUACAGCAACUUUCGCUUAUCCAUUCAGGUUGAAUCAAGCAUCAUUUAAGGCACCUCCAAGUGUAAAUGUGUGUGAUAUAAAUUGGAAACAGUAUGUCCUUCUUGGAGAUUACUCUUCUUCUGCACAGUUCUAUGUUACGUUCGCAGUGUUUGUUUUCCUAUACUGCAUUGCUGCUCUUCUGCUCUAUGUUGGUUACAUAAACCUGUAUCGGGAUAAUCGAAAACUUCCCAUGAUUGACUUCGUUGUUACUAUUAUCGCCACUUUCUUGUGGCUAGUGAGCACUUCAGCCUGGGCUAAAGCUCUUACAGAUAUUAAAAUAGCUACUGGUCACAAUAUUGUCCAGGAACUUGGACCCUGUAAAAAUGUGACGUGUUACUUUGGCUCUGUGACUAGUAUGGGAUCCCUAAAUGUAUCUGUGAUCUUCGGCUUUCUGAAUAUGAUACUUUGGGGAGGAAAUGCCUGGUUUGUGUACAAGGAGACCAGCUUACACAGUCCAUCAAAUACUUCUGCUUCCCAUAACCAAGGAGGUAUUUCACCUCCUUCCGGAAUGUAAUUGAAGGGAGAAGUACACUGUUUGAAAUGUACAUCUGUACUAUGACCUGUUGCCAACAUCUUGAGACACAUUAUUUGUUUCUAAAAAAAGUAAUGGCUUUUUCAAUAAAUUGGUGGGUUUAAAAUUUUGCUGCUUUUUUUACAUAAAGCCUGUGCCUUUCCUAGAAAUUUACAAUGUAAAUGUAUUCUCACAUGUAAAUUUGAAAAUUCAGGGACCUAUUAUGGGGUGAUAUAUUUUUAAAUGAACAUUAAUUUCUUCACUAGGUUGUUUACACCUUAAGCUUUAAAAUAUAUGUUCACUCAGAAAAGAGUUAUAUUGUCAUAUUAGGAGGAAAAUCUCUAUUUGGAAUAUACACUACUGUCAGUUUGUACAGAUCAUAUAGCUAUGACCUAUCUGGUUAAGAAAGCCUUGGUUAUAUAAAUCAUAUUUAGAAAUAAACAUAUUUAGUUCAGAAUUUCAGAAUUUAUAUCUGAACAUUGUUUAUAUAUUAUGAAAACUCUUAAUUGCAAAGACUGGGUAUGUGUUUUAUUUCUUUUUUUCUAAAUGACCUUCAGUACUUAAUAGGUAUGCUAAAAUGUUUUGGGAGUGGGGGUUGAAAAUUUCUAAUAGAUACAUAGUUAAUUUAGUAAUUCUGUCACACAAGAUGUAAGGUACCAUUAUGCUGAGUGUUUAAUAUAAUAGACUUGCUAUAUAAGUAGAAAUAACAUGGUUCAAUGAAACAUUUUGAUAUGUAUGGGCAUUACUCUGUGGUAUUUGUUUCCUGUCCCUUUGUUGCUCAUACCACUUAAGUGCAGGUUGAGACCUGUUCUCCUUGAAAGUAGAAUAAAAUACUUCAUCUUUUUUUUUUUCCAGACCCUCCUUAUAAAUUUAAAAAACUAAGAUUGCGUUUUACUUUUGGAACAUUUAACAUUAGUUUCGAUGAAGUUGCUAUUUUGAAUUUAGCAUUGAUAUUGUGAUAAUAAAUGCAACUCAGAUUUCAUGUUUCUUAAUGUUCAUUCUUAUUUCACAAAUGGGUAAUUAAGGAAUUGUGCAUCGUAAGGAACCUUUGAUAUUUUUUAAUCUGAUUGCUCUUGAGGUUUGUGAUCUUUCUUUGUGUUUAUUGGCCACUUAGGUUGCUCCUAUUCUGUAUAGCCUGUUCAUCUUCAUGGUUUGUGCUUUUUGUGUCUUUAGGUAUAUUCUGAAUUCAGGGCUUAUUCAUAUUCUGCUUCUUAAUCUUUUUUGUUGUACAGGGCCAGAUUUCCUAUUCUGACCACUUGAUUGUUUAUUUGUGAAGCACAUCUUGCUAUUGCCUUAUUUUUGUUGAUUUUAUUCAUGACAAGGAUUGUCAGUAUGAGAAUAUAUCUUUUAUGCAACCAACUUAAUAAAGAAGUUAAAAGAAAGAAUGCACUGAUUGUUAUAUUCCAAAGAAACCUUCAUCUUAAAGAUACACAGACACAAGGUCAACUCUGUCCAAUGCUGCUGAGAGAUUAAAUAAGGACUGAGAAUUAACCAUUGCAUUUGAUGACAUGGAGUUUAUAAUCCUCAACAUGGACUAUCAGUGGAAUUCUGGGAACAAAAUCCUAAUUCAAGUAGUCUAACAAUGAUUUGAGGUAAGAGAGUGAAACUAGCAAGUAUGAAUGACUCGAGGUGUUUUGCUGUAAAUGAGAGCAGAGACUGGAAGAGCUGAAGGAGAGAGGUCAAGAGAGGCAUUUUUGUGUGCUUAAGAUUUAAGCUAUUACAGCAUUUUUUUAAAGCAGAGUAUCGAUUCUAUUUAGAAUGGAAAAAAAUUGAUAAUGCAAGGAGAGGAGGGAUUAUUGCAAAGCUGAGUCUUAGAAACAGAGAGGAAGGGAUCUGGUGCCCAAAAGCAACAGUUGAUCUUGGUGAAAGCAAAAACACAGUUUAUCAAUUAUAUUAGAGAAAAACGGAAUUUUUAAAGGUUUGUUAGUAGAUGUGGUGGUACUUAGACUAAGGAGCUCUCUUUGAUUGCACCUGUUUUCUUGGUGAAAUAAGCAAGGCCAUCAACUGAGAAUGAGUAAAGAGGAAGUGUACGUAGAGUUUUGAAUAGAGAAGAGAACAUAUGAAAUGGAAUACAUAUAAAUGAAAUAACAUUUUACUGGUGAUCCUAACCAACACAUUAAGACAAGAAAAAAUCAAAUAUUAGAAAGCAAGAAACUAAACUGUUACUAACACAUAAUAUACGUCCACAUAGAAAAUCCAAAAUGAUAUACUAAGUACUAGAAUUACUGAGUUUAGAAAGAUAGCUAAAUAUAAGAUCAAUGUACAAAAACCGCCUUUAAGAAUAUACAUUAUAUAAA